AACCCGUGGCUCGGGCCCGCCCCCAUCUCAGCACCCCAGGCUAGUCUGGGAGGCUGGCGCAAACGCAGCGGGUGGCGGGGGUAGGGGCUCAUUGGGAGCCCACGGAGUGCGGCGGCGGCUCGGGGGCCGAGUUCCCUACAACAAGGAUGGCGGUGACCGGCGCAGGGAGCGGGGCCCGGCUCUCCUUGCCUCGAGGCUCCUCUGAUUCCACUCGCGUGGCUGCGCGGCCCUGGCAGCGGCCUUCGUCCCGGGGAUGGGAGCUACACAGGGUUCCGCCCCGUCCUGGCGACGACGCCUGAGGGGGCUCUGUGAUAAAGAAAUGGGGGCUCCGAGCAGUCAAGAAGAACAUGCCCCAAGUUUUUCGUCAGUGAGGCGGAAAUUGUGGUGUCCUUGUUUUCUGUGGGUCAGGAGAUCAGAAAUGGUUCUAUUUCAAGGUCUCUCACAGGGCCGCAAUCAAGAUGUUGGCAUGGCUGGGGUCUCAUCUGAAGGCUGGACUGGAGAAGAAUCUACUUCCAAACUUAUGUGGUAGCUGGAAGAAUUUAGUUCCUCAAGGCCGCUAAACUGAUGGCCUGUGUUCCUUGCCUCUGGGAUGGUAGCUUGCUUCAACAAAGUGUGCAAGCAGAGAAGACAGAGUCCGCUAGCAAGACAGAAGCCACAAUCUCUUGUAAUCUAUCAUUUUUGCUGUAUUCUACUGGUUAAAAAUAACUCAUUAGGUUAGCCUACUGGCUCUCAAGGGGAAGAGAUUAUACAAAGGCAUGAAUUUCUGGAGGAGGGAAUGAGGGCAAAGAAUUCUGAGAAGUCUGUCUUCCACAAUCUGAAGAACUUCUAGAAAGUAGGAGGAAGUGAUAUUGCUUAGGGAUGGACAACUUGGCACUGGUUAUGUAUUUCAAGUGAGGUAACCUUGUUCCCAAGAAUAAAGAGAACCAGACAACUGUAAACAUUUCCCUAAACUGAAAUGCAGACUGUUGUAUGUUCCCCUGAAAUGAAUGAUGUAAGCUGAAUAUAAGAUUUUUGACAAAAUAAAAAUUUUGCUGUGUUCUCAGGUCUGGCAGGCUCCUGCCCUUAUGCAAACAAUGUUCCUGGCAGCUAUUCAUCUCCUUAGGUAAAUAAGAAUUGGAGAAAAGCUGUGCUGAGAUAUGAUGCAUUUGCUCUUGCCUUGGAACGUUGUUUUCUGAUAAGGUUCUAUAUCCUCUGCAAAUCAAAUCAGGCACUUACAGUGUGAGUAUGCAUUCUCUUCCUGCCAGUCUGGAGAUGAUCAAAAAGCCUAUAACAGGCUUGGCCUAUUUUCCUAUUGGGUUGCUGGGGUUUUUUUUCGUCUUUAUUUACUUGUAGAGAGUUUUAGACCUCUGUGUAUGUAUGGUGUACAAGUGACAAUAUUCAGAUCUGUAAACUGUAAUGCAGUCUGGGAGCAAAGAAGAUAUAGAAAAAUGACUUUUACUUCCUGCUUAAGUAGUAAAAUUGAGAUUCAAAUUUUGCAUAUAGAAGUACUAUAUGGCUAACUUAUUUGGGGAGCAAAACUGACUUACCGUAAGUCUACCUGAAAUAGAAAUAAAACACUCAAUUUGUGAAAUAA